rnacentral:rRNA from 1 species
UAUUAAAGUUGUUGCAGUUAAAAAGCUCGUAGUUGAAUUUCGGGGUUAGUAGGUUGGUCAUGCCUCUGGUAUGUACUGGUCUCACUGAUUCCUCCUUCCUGAUGAACCUUAAUGCCAUUAAUUUGGUGUUUUGGGGAAUUUGGACUGUUACUUUGAAAAAAUUAGAGUGUUUAAAGCAAGCUAACGCUUGAAUACAUUAGCAUGGAAUAAUGAAAUAGGACGUUCGAUCCUAUUUUGUUGGUUUCUAGGAUUGACGUAAUGAUUAAUAGGGAUAGUUGGGGGCAUUAGUAUUCAAUUGUCAGAGGUGAAAUUCUUGGAUUUAUUGAAGACUAACUAC